GAUGAACGCUAGCGGCAGGCCUAACACAUGCAAGUCGAGGGGUAACAGAGAGAAGCUUGCUUCUUUGCUGACGACCGGCGCACGGGUGCGUAACGCGUAUACAAUCUACCUUAUACUGGAGAAUAGCCCAGAGAAAUUUGGAUUAAUGCUCCAUAGUAUGUUGAGUUCGCAUGGACAUGACAUUAAAGGUUACGGUAUAAGAUGAGUAUGCGUUCUAUUAGCUAGUAGGUGUGGUAACGGCACACCUAGGCAACGAUAGAUAGGGGCCCUGAGAGGGGGAUCCCCCACACUGGUACUGAGACACGGACCAGACUCCUACGGGAGGCAGCAGUGAGGAAUAUUGGACAAUGGAGGCAACUCUGAUCCAGCCAUGCCGCGUGCAGGAAGACUGCCCUAUGGGUUGUAAACUGCUUUUAUACAGGAAGAAACCGCUCUACGUGUAGAGCUCUGACGGUACUGUAAGAAUAAGGAUCGGCUAACUCCG
rnacentral:rRNA from 1 species